rnacentral:rRNA from 1 species
CCUACGGGAGGCAGCAGUGGGGGAUAUUGGACAAUGGGGGGAACCCUGAUCCAGCGACGCCGCGUGAGUGAAGAAGUAUUUCGGUAUGUAAAGCUCUUUCAGCAGGGAAGAAAGAAAUGACGGUACCUGACCAAGAAGCCCCGGCUAACUACGUGCCAGCAGCCGCGGUAAUACGGAGGGGGCAAGCGUUAUCCGGAAUUACUGGGUGUAAAGGGUGCGUAGACGGGUAAGUAAGUCUGGAGUGAAAGGCCGGGGCCCAACCCCGGGACUGCUCUGGACACUAUGGGACUUGAGUGCAGGAGAGGUAAGCGGAAUUCCUAGUGUAGCGGUGAAAUGCGUAGAUAUUAGGAGGAACACCAGUGGCGAAGGCAGCUUACUGGACUGUAACUGACGUUGAGGCUCGAAAGCGUGGGGAGCAAACAGGAUUAGAUACCCCAGUAGUC